rnacentral:rRNA from 1 species
GGGUGCGAUCAUACCAGUACUAAUGCACCGGAUCCCAUCAGAACUCCGAAGUUAAACGUGCUUGGGCGAGAGUAGUACUAAGAUGGGUGACCUCUUGGGAAGUCCUCGUGUUGCACCCC